rnacentral:rRNA from 1 species
UACAGAGGGUGCGAGCGUUGUUCGGAAUCACUGGGCGUAAAGGGCGCGUAGGCGGCCGAUUAAGUCGGGGGUGAAAGCCUGUGGCUCAACCACAGAAUUGCCUUCGAUACUGGUUGGCUUGAGACCGGAAGAGGACAGCGGAACUGCGAGUGUAGAGGUGAAAUUCGUAGAUAUUCGCAAGAACACCAGUGGCGAAGGCGGCUGUCUGGUCCGGUUCUGACGCUGAGGCGCGAAAAGCGUGGGGGAGCAAACAGG